rnacentral:lncRNA from 1 species
GCAAAUGUUUACAUUCAAUUAAGGGGAAAAAGUAGAACCAGCACAAAUGAGUGGCAGUUGCUGGAGCAUAACUGCUUCAAUAAAUCUUCAUCUUGGGGUAAUUACAGGCAAGUCAUUUUCACAUCCUCUUGAGGUUCAGAGCAUCAGAAUGAACUCUAUGAAUACAUGUGUAAGUGCCAGACAGCUGAAUCUUUAUCAGGUAUUGUAAAGAUACACAUAUGAUAUGUUUAUUAAAAUUGAAAUAAUGUAAAACACAUGAAUAAAUUUGCAAAACCAAGAUCACAGUACACCAUAUGCACUCUGGUACCUUAAUUUUUUUUUAUAAAUAAUAAAAGUGAAUAUUGAAGCUUCUUAAAGUUGGUCUUAAUUUUUCAUAAAUAAAAUUUGGGGUUAUAACAGAAAUAAUACAUUAAAUACAUAGACAAAAAAAGUUAAACAUAAGAUAAUCUAUUUUACAGUGUUUCUUAUAGGCUUACAAUUAUUUGAAUGUAUUUCCAGUUCUUGUAUGAUUAACUUUUGUGCAUAUCUAACUUUUUAUUAUUUUUAUCUUUGGCUACUGCACGUGCAUCUCUCGUCAUUCCUCCACCAAAUAAACAGACAAAAGUAGUAUUGAAAAGUUUACAGUCCCUUAUCUAAUGGCAAAUUGUGUGUAUGUAUGAUUUUUUUAUCUUGUUCUCUUAAGAUUUACUGCUGCUUAAAAUUACUACCAGUAAUCCUUAGUCACUCCCAACUGUUUCUGCUGUAUCUCAUGAAGUGUUAGAGCGUUUAUGAGAAACAUAAAUACAUGUAUAAGCAUAUUGGUCACACCUUCUGGGCUAGCUAGGGUCCAAAGUCUAUCCAUGAAAGCUACAUGCAUGUUCUCUCUCACACACUCAUGGACUUUCACCUGCACACACAUACAGGUCCCCAUUUGUAUAGGUUUAGUCCAGUAAGAGAAUGGAGAAGCUCAGUAAAGGUAGGAUGACUUCCCAAGGUUAUACGGCUGAUCAACUGUUGGAAAUUAAUUACAGACCUUGCUUUACAACCCAGGUUUUGCUAUUUCAGGUAAGUACUACCUACAGCAGGAAUCAGUAACGUUUGGCCCUUUAACCCAAACUGGACUGCUGCCUGUUUUUGUAAAUAAAGUUUUAUUGGAACAGAGCCAUGCCUAUUCAUUUGUGACUCCUGUAACUGGAGGCAGUUAUACAAAGCUGCCAUGUUAGCUCCUGUUUCCUGUCUGGUUCAUUCUGCAUUUCUGUGGUGACAAGUGGACCCAAGUAAGCUCUAGAAGAUGUUCUCAGUAAAAUCAUUACUGUUUCUAUGUGAUUACAUUAAAAAUAAUACAAACAGUAGGAUGGUACUUCAAAAAGUCAAGCAGUUUUCCUGUUUCUGGUCACAGUAGCCAAUGUUUGCACACCCACUGAAAACAAUUGAAAAAACUAGGUAAAAAUAACUUUUUAAAGAACCAUUAGAGACAGUACAGGGUAUGUGCUCAAUACUGGUUCUGUGGCCCCUUUCCAAUAAUAAGAGGCAGUUCUCAAUUGUUACUGGGAGGAGUUUUGCCAUCUCAUGGGAUUUCUUUCCUUCCUCAUGUUAGCAUGCUUUCUGGGAGAACUUCUCUUUACCGCAGAAGAGCCCCACCUGCUUCUCUUCUUAGGCACCACAAAUCUCAAACCCUUUCUCCCUCCACCCCCAGCUCUAAUGAAAUGUGCAGGGACUGGAUGACUGGAAGCCCCAGCCUGGGUCUCUGCUGUCUAAUCCUGGCUCAAGUACUGACAAGUCAAAUCACUUGACCCCCAUGAAUCUCCUUAAGAAAAUCGUGGUGUUGAAUCAGUGUGUCUAUUCCAACUAAAAAAAUUAUUUCAUUUGAAUUAACUGAGUCUUUGCCUCCACUGUGUUUCGUUCUCCGUCCUCCCAGCAACCCAGCAUUCAGAAUACAUGGGUCUUUGUCUUUCCCUUUAGGAUCUAAGUCAGAGAAGCCUUCAUAGGGAGAUAGAUAAUAGGGAUUCUUGCUAUCUCCCCUAAAGGGGAAGGGGAGGAAACCUUGAAUGGAGAGAAUUUUUUGAGGAAUAAAGAAGUGAGAAACUGAAUUUCAAGAGUCUCAGUCUGAACAUAGCAAACCAAGGGGUGAAGAAUUUAUCAGUAGUCAUGGGUGGUAAACUGAAAAAGGGAAGCUGACUAAGUAAAAUCCCGGAAACCAGAAGAGGAGGAUGUAAGUGACGCUCUAACAUGAAGGGUUUUUGGGCAUCCCAAUCAGCAGAAUUUCUACCUGCCUUCUGAUACCCUGAGACAGCCAGGUCAGGAUGUGAUGGUGCAGUACCUGCUAGCACUUUGCUGCAGAAUGCCUCUGCACUCAGUUCUGCAAAUGUACUGUUUUAGUUUCAUUUAAAACCCCUUUUUUUGUGAGAAGAUUUCAAACAUCAGGCAAGUUUGUAAUGAAUUCAAGCUGAGUUCUCUCGAGGGACAAACAUGUAUAACUACAGUUCCAGUGUCAGUGCCAGCUGUCAGGUUUUCACUGUGCAGCUAGGGCUGCCUGCAUACCCAGUCAUGUAAACCAAAUUCACUCUAGAAUCGGCCAGGUCUUACCAAAAUGCAAAUAGAAUACAAAGCAACUGGAAAUAUAUUUCGUAAUUUCAUUUUAUGUGUGAUUUUAAAAGUUAAGCUACUUCAAAACUCAUCUGUCUAACUUAUUUUCACUAAUAAGUGUAACUUGCCUGGAAUUUGGCAGAUCUAAGCUGGGCUUGGGCUAGAUGGUUUCAAGCCUGAGUCAUUAAGAUGUGAAAUUUACAGAAACAACAGAGGAUUGAGGAACAAGUUAAAGGACACUCUAAUGGUGCAGUCUGCAUAAUGCAGUAGUAUGAAAUUCUACAAAAAACCAAGAUGAAAGGAGGAUCAGAUUUAAGAGACAUACUAAUCAAAUUUGGACCUGAUUGGGUUCUGAUUGAAACUAAAAAUAAAUGUCAUGACACUUACAAGACAAUUGGAAAUUUGAACACUACAUAUUUUAACGUAUAAUGUUACUUAUUUAAUAUAAAAUUAUAUUUUAGAUGUGAUAGUAUUGUGGUUACGUAUCUUGUAUAGAUACAACCUGAAUUUACAAAAGGAAUGAUUUGUCUGAUUUGAUUCAAAUUAAUAUGGGAGCAGAGAAAGGAAUGUUUUAGAUUAACCACGGUUUUCCAUGAGUUGAAAUAUACUUACUUAGCAGAAUAUUGAGCUAUAGUUGCCAUAUAAUAAACUGCACGUAUUUAAAAUGUACAGUUAGUCUACUUUAUUUAAAAUUUUCUCUAAUAGUGUAAAGAAAAAGGUGACUAAUCAAUUCAGCCAUUCUAAAAGGACACUUCAUUUACAAAAUAAGCAUAGGAUCAUAUUCCUUUGCCCUGGAAAUGUGAAAAGUUUUUAAGAAGACAUUUAAAGGAACAAGUUUCAUUGCUGUAAUUUUCUUAAUAGAUUCCUCUACAUUGUAUAUUUGAAAGAUAGAGGAUUUGAAAGAAAAUUUGCAUAACAUUUGGGACAAACCGUGGGUUUUUUAACAGCUUUAUUGAAGUGUACUGAACAUAUGAUAAAGUUUAACCAUUUCAAGUGUGCAGUCUAAUGUCUGGAAUGCAGCCAUCAGCACAAUCUGGGUUUUUAGCACUUCCCAAUCAUCUGGAAGAACUCCCUCAAGCUCAUUUGUAGCCAGUCUCCGUUCCCACCCCUAGCCUCAGCCAGUGAACUGCUUUCUAAUCCUAUAGUUUUUCUAGAAAUUUUAUAUACAUGGAAUCGCAAUAUGUAAUUUUUUGUGUCUUCUUUCGCCUAAUGUAAUGUUCUUAAGUUUCAGCCACUUUGGGUGUAUCUGUUCAUUCCCUGUUGCUGCUGUAUGUGGUAUAUUUCUUUUUACAUUGUAAGAAACUAGCAGACCAUUUUCAAAAUGACUAUCAUUUGACAUUCCUACUAGCAGUGUGUGAGACUUGCAAGCUUUGCACUUCCUCAUCAACACUUGAUGAUAUCACCUUCUUAACUUUGGCCAUUCUACUGGUUGUGUUACAGUAUCUCAUUUUAAUUUGCAUUUCUCCAGUAAAUGAACUUACUAGACACUUGUAUAUCUUCUUUGAUAAAGUUUCUAUUCCGAUAUUUUGCCCAUUUUUUCAGUUGUUGGAUUGUCUAUCUUGAGUUGUGAGAGUUUUUUUUAUGUGUUUUGGAUACAAGCUGUUUUUUAGAUGUGUGUUAUGCAAAUAUUUUCUCCCAGUGUGUUUCUUGCUAUGUUGCCCAAGCUAGAUUUCUGGAUUCAAGUUAUCCUCCUGCUCGGCCUUCUGAGGAGCUGGUACUACAGGCACGUGCCACCGCACCUGGCCCAGUGUGUGUAAUAGUCUUUUGAAGAGCAAAACUUUUAAAUUUUCAUAAGGACCAUCUCAGCAUUUUUUUCAUUUACAAGUUGUACUUUUGGUAUCAUAUCUAAGAUAUCUUUAUCUAACUUAAGGUAACAAAGGUUUUUCCCUAUGUUUCCUUACAGAAGUUUUACAGUUGUUAUAGCUUUAGUUCUUGUAUUUAGGUCUGUGAUCCAUUUCAAUUUAAUUUUUGUGUAUCGUAUGAGAGAAGGGUCAAGGUCGUGUGUGUGUGUGUGUGUGUGUGUGUGUGUGUGUACAAUUUGAACACUAAUUUAAAAAGCUAUAUUUUCCCAUUGAAUUACUUUGGCACCUUUGUCAAAAAUCAGUUAACCAUAUAUGUGUGAGUCUAUUUCUGGACUCUGUUCUAUUGAUGUAUACAUCUAUUUUUAUGCUGAAAUCAACUGACUUGCUUAUUGGGCUUCAUACUAACAAAGCAACGUUUUCCAGAUUGAGUGACUUUCCUGGCCUUGCUCACACAAGACAGAGAAGCAGCUGCAAGUAAAAUUGGCUGGAAUAAUUGGGAGUCACCAGGCAGAUACCCUGUGCUUUCCACACAGUAUCCAGAUGUAGAAGACACGCUGCCUUUUCCUACAACUUUUCUUCUGUUUUGGGGGUUCUGAUCUUGUAAGUUUUAUAUCCUAAGGGAGGACAUUGCAAAAGGAAUGUUCAUUUUCCUUCCCUUUUGCUUGAGAGAAAGACGACUUCUUUAGCACCAUAUAUAUAUAUAAAAACAUAUAUAUUUAUACGUGGGAGUGGGGGAAACAUGAUUUCCUUUUUAAAAAACAGUCUUAAAAUCUUGGAAACAGGUUUGUAUCAGGUAGAUCUUGCUGUUAAUGAAUCCACUGUUGCUUAUUUUAAAAGAAGAAACUUUAAUCACCAUCAAGAGGAAUUGAAGAGUAUUUAAAAACAUCACCAAAUUUACCUGAGAGACUCAUUCUCAGAAGGCAAAUAUCAAUAAAGGAGAAAAUAGAGAUAAUUAAAUCUUUGGAAUUAUGGCUAGAAUGCCCAUUUGUUCCUUAAACUUACUUCUUGUUUUACAGGCAUAUUUAAAGAUCACUUUAAGAAAUACCCAUAUGUAUUAUUAGAAAGUCAUACUAAUUGCUGUCUCAAUUAUUGCCUCUUUAAAGUACUACUUUUUUUUUUUUUUGAGACAGAGUCUCGUUCUGUCGCCCAGUCUGGAGUGCAGUGGCGAGAUCUUGGCUCACUGCAAGCUCCGCCUCCUGGGUUCAUGCCAUUCUCCCGCCUCAGCCUCCCUAGUAGCUGGGACUACACUACAGGCGCCUGCCACCACACCCGGCUAAUUUUUUUAUUUUUAGUAGAGACAGGAUUUCACCGUUCACAGGAUGGUCUCGAUCUCCUGACCUCGUGAUCCGCCCGCCUCGGCCUCCCAAAGUGCUGGGACUACAGGCGUGAGCCACCGCACCCAUCAAAGUACUACUUCUUAUGAAGCCUGUCUUCCCACCAGGUUCUUCAGGAGCAUCUUGAUUCUUCUUGGCCUUUUUAUUUUCACAUGAUUUUAGACUUAGCUUGACAAAUUCCACAAGAAAGUAUAUUGGGAUUUUUACAAUGAUUUCACGUAAGCUGUUGAUCAAUUUGGAGAAAACUGACAUAUUUACAAUGUCUUCCAAUGCACAAACUUGAUGUCUCCCCAUUUACUUAUGUUAGUUUUAAUUUGUCUCGAUAAUGCUAGAUACAUUUGCAUCAAUUUCUUGCCCAUCUUUUGUUAGAUUGAUUCCUAAGUCUUCACUAUUGCAAUUGUAAGUGGUAUCUUAAUUUAAAUUUCAUUUUCUAACUAUUUGUAGUUAGAAUUUACAAAUAAGAUUGAGCUUUCACUAUUGACAUUUGGCAACCUUGCUAAACUCUUACAAAUUCCAAUAAUUUCACUGUGGAUCGCCUGCAGUUCCAGGGGUUGGUAAACUAUGAGCUGUGAACCAAAUCUAACUUGAGGCCUGUUUGGGCAGGCUAAGAAGGUUCUUACCUUUUCAUAAAUGGUUGUAAAAGCAAACAAACAAAUAUAUAUAUAUAUAUAGCAUAGUAUGUGACUAGAGAGCCUAAAAUACUUACUGUGAAAAAAGCAGACAAUACAGAAAUUAACUAGAAAUUAUUAAGAUAAUUGACACAGAGGGAGACUCUUUGUAAAUUAUCUUAAGAAGUUCUUAAGACAACAUUGUUCUCAUUCCGGCAGUUUUAUUUUUCACUUUUAAUCAACUUUAAGCCUAUUAACUGUUUUCUAUCAUUCAAUAUCCUCUUUUUGCUGCAGUUAAAAAUCUGCAAAAGUAGAUUCUUCAAACUAAGAUAUAGUGACUCUGUCAAGCCCAGUUUCAAAAAGCAUGUGACAAGACUAUAUUGCCAAGUUUAAACAUAUGCUCUAUAGCAGAAAUAGGGAAGAAAUUCACUUAUUACUUUAUCCAUGUAAGAUUUAUUAAACAUGUAACUUCGUUGGAACCAACAAAGCUACUUUCAUGUUUUUAUGUUGUUCUUUUUAGAUAUUUAGAUUAACCAGAUAAUCUUAAAUUAUCUUAGAAAUUAGAAAGUUUCUGCAGUAUUGUUACAUUUGUUCCAAGUAUACAAGUUGUUUCUAUGCACUACCUUCUCAAUCCUGUGAAAGAAGUCUAUUACCAAAGCAAUUUCUAACACAUUGCUCAAAAGACACAGUAACGUUGUGAAAGGCAUUUUGUUGGAUUUAGUCCCAUUUUAGUAUCCCCUUAAAAAGUUUGACUGAUGACUCUGGAUAUUCAGCCAACAGUGUUGUGUCAAAAACUUGCUUGAAUUUAUCUAAAAAUUCAUAGUCGGUGCUGAACCUGAAUUUGUUUGCCCAAAGCAGCACCGUCCCUGGCUGGGAAAGGUACACCAUGGUGGUGAGCAGCUUGUCCAGGAAGUAGUGAUGGUAGACCACAUCUGAGGCUAGGACGUAAUCAUAGUAAAAAGCUGACUUGGGAAAGUUUUUGUCCAGGUCUUCCCCCCAUACCAGUUCUUUCACUUCAGGCAGAUGUGCUGUACAUUGUAGUGUGUUUUUUAAAAGAUUGUAUUGAAGGUUUCCCAGGACAUCAGGCAAAUCUGUUGCUGUGACUUGAGCUCCUAAGAGAAAAAGAAAACAAUGACCUGGAAACAUCUGGGCAGUCACAGUGUACAUAUACCCAGGGAGAAACACAAGAAACAACUGGAUUCCUUAGCCUUGGCUCUAUUGGUGGGUGGGCUGGACAUGUUUGACCUAAUGUGGGCUGGCUAAUUCUUGUGGGUGGUCCGUCCCGUGCACUGUAAGAUGGUGAGCAGCCUCCCUGGCCUCCAACCACCUGAUGUCAGUAGCUCCCCCACCUCACCUCACCUGUGGGAUUGACAACAGAGAUUCAGAGUCAUGCCUCUGGACUCAACUUCGUCCCAUGGAAACUGGUUGAUUGGAGUUUAUUAACCUCUCUGAGACUCAAUGAUCUCUGUAGAUAACAGCAGUAAUUCCUGCCGCAUGACAUUUUGGGGAGAGUCACUGAGUGAAGUUAGGGCCAGGCACCUAAACCACAGCCUGUCAUAGAGUAAGCACUUGCUAUUGUUGUUACAGUAAAGAUCUGGAUACUAGGUCAGGAAUAAACAAACAAACCUAAAAUACUGGCCACAAUGGAAACAAGGCCUGGUCCGGCACCAAUUUCAAGUAUUUUUGCAUCUUGGAAAUUCAAUUCCUCGGCAUGUUCCUCCAAGUAUUGACACAAAGCCAUAGCCUAAAAAAUAAUUAUAACUUUUCAUGUGGGCAUUGGAACAUUGGAAACCAGUAGCAACCCUUUCUGGCACCCAAAUUUAAAUACUAAAAGACAUGUUAUUACAUAUGUUCAGUUUAUAUUCAUAAGAACCCAAAUGUACACUCAAUGCCAUAUUUAGACCUCUGAAAUAAAGAAGUUAUAAUAAAUUGCAUCUCAGGAACUGGGGAAAAAGAUUUGUUAAAUUGCCUCCUAAAUCUCCAAAGAAUAGGAAGAACAGUAGAUCAGCUUAGCUCUUUCAAAUCAGGGCAAUGUUGGGCUAAAAGAACAGCAACUCCUUCCACUGGUUUAAUCAUGUUGGUCUCCAACUGCUUUAGGAAUGUUGUUUUAUGUUAGAAUUCUUUCUUGUAAGAGAGUUUUUUAAAUUAUAGAAGUAAUUUUUUAAAAUGUCAAUUUAUAAACUUGAACACCUCUUUCCUGACUCCUUUACCAAAAUUCAGGUUGGCGAGCACUUUGCCGUAUUGAGCGACGGGUUAGUGACUUUUUUUAAAGUGGUUCUUCUAAGAAACAGACAGUUCAGAAACUGCUUCUCAGACUUCAGUGUGCAAACAGAUUCCCUGGAUAGCUUGUUAAAGAUGCAGAUCCUCAUUCAGUAGGUCGAGAGUGGGGCUCAAGAUCCUGCACGUCUAAACAAGCCCUGACAUGAUGCUCAUCUGCUGGCCCAUGUACCCACUUUGAGUAGUAGCAAGCAGAUUUUUUUAAAUGUUUUAUAUAUCAACAAAUAUUGUUAGUUUUUUAUACAGGAAAUCAAACUUCCCUUUCUUCUUUAUUCGUUCUCUUCUCCCUCCACCUUCCUCUAACCUUUCCACAAAGAGUAAAGGGUAUUUGAUUUGCAUUGAUUGCUGAGGUGUUUACGUGUAUGGCAAUGAGGCAUCAACUAGCAGUGCCCUUGAUUGGAGAGAUUAGGAAGAGUUAUGAGAAGAAAUGACAAAAAGUUACUUAAAUUUGAGUAUAAAUAGCCCAGCGUGAGGAACGUGAACACUGAGAUUUAAAAAACAAUGAACUCUAUAAUUUACUUAUACAUUUAGGCCCUAGCUAAAGAUAUGCCCCCAUCUUCCUCUGGACUCUACUUUCUAUUUGGGGCCCAGUUUGGAGUGGGGGCAGCCAGGAUGAUUGGAGACGUGUCACUCUUAGGAUUACCAGUGGUAGGUUUGGUAGCCAACCUGACCCUGUACGUCACUCCAUUUCAUCCUCAUCUGUUCAUAUUGAACUGCCACGGGCAAAGAUGAAUAUGACGCAGUCACCUCUACUGUCUGGGAACUCAGUGGUGGGGCUUAGGGGCCAUGUCAGCCAAUUACAAACUGAAUUCUGGGGAGGUAAGUGCUGUAGAGGAGGCAGACAGCUGGUUGAAGGGAGAGGGGUCACCACAGAGCCGCCGAGGAGUCUGGGCCGACUUCAUGGGGCCGGGGAGAAGCCAGCUGGUGUGGAAGGCCAGGGCGGUGGGUAAAAUAGCAACAUGGUGUGACAUAAAUAGCACCAACUGCAGCACGCUGCAGGGAGCUCCAGAGCUUAGAAGGGAAGUUUUGAAGAAAGGAGUUCUUUGGUCCUUAAGGAGAGAAGAGAAGUAUUUGCUGUGGGGGCUG